AGCAGCCGCGGUAAUUCCAGCUCCAAUAGCGUAUAUUAAAGUUGUUGCAGUUAAAAAGCUCGUAGUUGAAUUUCGGGAUCAGUACGCUGGUCGUGCCUUUGGUAUGUACUGGUGUCACUAAUUCCUCCCUUCUGAAGAACCGUUAUGCCAUUUAUUUGGUGUGGCGGGGAAUCAGGACUGUUACUUUGAAAAAAUUAGAGUGUUUAAAGCAGGCUCGCGCUUGAAUACAUUAGCAUGGAAUAAUGAAAUAGGACGUUUGAUCUUAUUUUGUUGGUUUCUAGGAUCGACGUAAUGAUUAAUAGGGAUAGUUGGGGGCAUUAGUAUUCAAUUGUCAGAGGUGAAAUUCUUGGAUUUAUUGAAGACUAACUACUGCGAAAGCAUUUGCCAAGGAUGUUUUCAUUAAUCAAGAACGAAAGUUAGGGGAUCGAAGACGAUCAGAUACCGUCGUAGUCUUAACCAUAAACUAUGCCGACUAGGGAUCGGAUGAUGUUAUUUUUAAUGACUCAUUCGGCGCCUUAAC
rnacentral:rRNA from 1 species